AGACAUUAAUCUUAAGUACCCAGGGAGCCCUAAAACAUUGUAUCCCACUAGCAAGGACCAUGGUAAUUGCCACGUAAAUCCCUUCCAUAAUGUGGCCCUUAUUAUGACCAGCCAGCCAAGGCUUGCCUUUAAAUCAUACCAAUUGAACUGAGCCCUGUAGAAACCCUAUCACCUACGCAUACCUCUGCUUCUUUUCAUUAACCUGCUAUCCUCUUUACAAAUGGGAUUCUUCACCCACCCCCUUCUUCUAGAUUAGCAAUUCCCUGUUAAGUAAAUGAACAUGAAAUUCAAAGGGAAACAGGAGCAAUAAUCAUUACCAGCUGCCGUGUUAAGCAUUGCGAAAACGCUCACGAUUCACAGAAAAAUCCAUGCUGUUCUUUGAAGGCAUUCAAGCCUUAAUAGCUAGCUGGAUGAAUGUUUAACUUCUAGGCCAGGCACUACUCUGUCCCAACAAUAAGCCCUGUACAUUGGGAAAGGUGCCGAGACAUGAACUUUGGUCUUCUCUGCAAUCCAUCUGGAGCAUUCAGUGACAACAUCGACUUUGAAGUUGCACUGACCUGGCCAGCCCUGCCACUUACCAGGUUGGAUUGCAAACUCCUAGAGAAGGGCUCAACAGUGAGUGCUGAGGCUGCACAGAGGAGGAAGGCAGCACAAUGAUGGAAGGCUUCCUAAAGAGAUAACACUAACAAAGUUGACCUUAGAAUUGGAGUGCCUGGGUUAGAACCCUGCUGGUACCACCUGCUUACUGCAUGCUUCUGAUGUGAGUUCAGGAGAAGACACUGGCAAGGACAGCAAAGAACAGGAGAACACUCUAGCUUCCCUGAUAGCAUUCAAGGUGCUGUCCAAACUGACUGUGAUGGCACCCUCCAGACAGACAGCGAUGCCACAUGUUCAAGAUGGCAGAAUCACUAUCAGCUUCAAUUCCUGAAUGACUGCAGAGCAAAAUUUCUUACCCGCAACAUACACUCUAUUUUCAGCCUCCCUGGACUGUUACAUAAUGAUACAUAAAAAUAUUUCUUGUGUUGAGGCAUCCCAAAUUUGAUCUAUUUGUCAUCACAGUCUAUCCUCUGAAUAUAUUUCUGAUCCAAAUAAUGCUAGAUUCAUGCGAGUUUAUAGUCCAGAGAUUUUUUUUUUUUUUUUUUUUUGAGACAGAAUCUCACUGUCUCCCAGGCCGGGGUGCAGUGGCAUAAUCUUAGCUCACUGCAACCUCCACCUCCUGGGCUCAAGUGAUCCUCCCUCCUUAGCCUCCAUGAGUAGCUGGGACCACAGGUGUGCACCACCACACCCCGCUAAUUAUUUUGUAUUUUUUGCAGAGGGGGGUUUCACCACAUUGCCCAAGCUGGUCUCAAACUCCUAGACUUAAGGGAUCUGCCCGCCUUGGCCUCCCAAAAUGCUGAAAUUACACUUGUUAGCCAUAGUAAUAGUUCCUAGCCACAGUCCGGAGAUAUUUUAAAAACUUUAGUGUGAGUUAUUUCUCUUUGCUGUAAUUCUCUCAUGCAUUUUGAAAACCUUUUCUGCCAUACAGUGGUUUUUGGGAAGUCCUUUUGGACAGACAUAUCACAGGAUGGAGAAACUAAAGAGAGAGAAUGCAUUAAAGAAAAAAUAGUACUUCGUAUUUCAGAAAUUACAAAAGGGUGUCAUGCCCCACAGCAUGGUGGGCAGUCAUUUGUAACCCACAGAACAUUGAGUUUCUAAAAUUUGAGUGUUUUUAACUUACGAAGGCCAACUUUACUGAUGAAGUGAUUACCCCAAAUAUGUGAAAUCCAUAUUUCAAGCACAAUAGCAGGAAAUCGGAAAUGGGUAGGUAUAUUUCUGACUGUCAAAGAGUACAAAGUAAAGAGGGGCCCCUGAAGAGUGACACUACUGGAAAAACAGAA
rnacentral:lncRNA from 1 species